AUUGAACGCUGGCGGCAGGCUUAACACAUGCAAGUCGAGCGGAGAUGAGGUGCUUGCACCUUAUCUUAGCGGCGGACGGGUGAGUAAUGCUUAGGAAUCUGCCUAUUAGUGGGGGACAACAUUCCGAAAGGAAUGCUAAUACCGCAUACGUCCUACGGGAGAAAGCAGGGGAUCUUCGGACCUUGCGCUAAUAGAUGAGCCUAAGUCGGAUUAGCUAGUUGGUGGGGUAAAGGCCUACCAAGGCGACGAUCUGUAGCGGGUCUGAGAGGAUGAUCCGCCACACUGGGACUGAGAAACGGCCCAGACUCCUACGGGAGGCAGCAGUGGGGAAUAUUGGACAAUGGGGGGAACCCUGAUCCAGCCAUGCCGCGUGUGUGAAGAAGGCCUUAUGGUUGUAAAGCACUUUAAGCGAGGAGGAGGCUACUGAGACUAAUACUCUUGGAUAGUGGACGUUACUCGCAGAAUAAGCACCGGCUAACUCUGUGCCAGCAGCCGCGGAA
rnacentral:rRNA from 1 species